CUUCUUCAAAAAUAUAGCUCACAGUCAUUUAUUCUAUUUGUUUUCCUUUGUAUAUAAUGCUUGCUCCUGUAACAGACGGUUUUCUUCCAGCAGCACAUUAAGAAACAAAAUUAACACAUCGUGGUAACUACCUGGUUUGUUCCAGGUGAUUCAAUGCUUUGUACCUCAGGCAUUUGCAUUACAGCUUAAUCCAUUACAGACUCUGAAACAGCAACCUGUCAGUGUGCGACAGCAGCACCCUCAGCACAACAUACCAUGUCUGGCUGCAUCGAGAAUGGGACUGACCACGCUGUCAGAGCCAUUGCUUCCAACCCUCAUUUGGAUCUGAGUAGCGAUGAGAAAGAAGCCUCUUCCCCCCCCCCAGUUGUGCAAUCUUCACUUGAGAAUUCCUCAACUCCACUUUGCUUCUUUGCCUACAAUCAAAUGAAUCAGCCAUGAACAGAACCCAGCCAGAAACCUCUACCACGUAUUGACGUCUGGAAAAUGUGACUCUGGGAAGCCAUCAUUCUCUAACUACAAUG
rnacentral:lncRNA from 1 species